rnacentral:rRNA from 1 species
AUUGAACGCUGGCGGCAUGCCUUACACAUGCAAGUCGAACGGCAGCGGGGACUUCGGUCCGCCGGCGAGUGGCGAACGGGUGAGUAAUGUAUCAGAGCGUACCAUUGAGUGGGGGAUAACUAUCCGAAAGGAUAGCUAAUACCGCAUAUUCUCUCCGGAGGAAAGCAGGGGACCGCAAGGCCUUGCGCUCAUUGAGCGGCCGAUAUCAGAUUAGCUAGUUGGUGAGGUAAAGGCUCACCAAGGCGACGAUCUGUAGCGGGUCUGAGAGGAUGAUACGCCACACUGGAACUGAGACACGGUCCAGACUCCUACGGGAGGCAGCAGUGGGGAAUUUUGGACAAUGGGCGCAAGCCUGAACCAGCCAUUCCGCGUGAGUGAAGAAGGCCUUCGGGUUGUAAAGCUCUUUCGCAAGGGAAGAAAACUUAUCCUCUAACAUAGGGUGAGGUUGACGGUACCUUGAUAAGAAGCACCGGCUAACUACGUGCCAGCCGCCGCCGUAAUAC